GUAGGGCAUGUAAUCGCGGCUGGCAGGACCGAAAGGGGCCAGGUGAGGAAAGUCCGGGCUUCACAGGGCAGGAUGCCGGAUAACGUCCGGCGGAGGCGACUCCAGGGACAGUGCAACAGAGAUAAACCGCCUGCGGAGCAGGUAAGGGUGGAAAGGCAGUGUAAGAGACUACCGCCGCACUGGUAACAGGGCGGGCACAUGUAAACCCCAUCCGAAGCAAGACCGAACAAAAAGCUAUGUGGCUGCCCGUCACGCUUUUAGGUGGGUCGCUUGAGGCUGUCGGCAACGGCAGUCCUGGAUAGAUGAUUACACAUGACAUAACCCGCUUAUCGCCCUGCUUGU
rnacentral:RNase_P_RNA from 1 species